AAUAGAUACCCCUGGUAGUCCACGCCGUAAACGAUGAGUGCUAAGUGUUAGAGGGUUUCCGCCCUUUAGUACUGAAGUUAACGCAUUAAGCACUCCGCCUGGGGAGUACGGCCGCAAGGCUGAAACUCAAAGGAAUUGACGGGGGCCCGCACAAGCGGUGGAGCAUAUGGUUUAAUUCGAAGCAACGCGAAGAACCUUGCCAGGUCUUGACAUCCUCUGACAACCCUAGAGAUAGGGCUUCCCCUUCGGGGGCAGAGUGACAGGUGGUGCAUGGUUGUCGUCAGCUCGUGUCGUGAGAUGUUGGGUUAAGUCCCGCAACGAGCGCAACCCUUGAUCUUAGUUGCCAUCAUUCAGUUGGGCACUCUAAGGUGACUGCCGGUGACAAACCGGAGGAAGGUGGGGAUGACGUCAAAUCAUCAUGCCCCUUAUGACCUGGGCUACACACGUGCUACAAUGGACGGUACAAAGAGUCGCGAGACCGCGAGGUGGAGCUAAUCUCAUAAAACCGUUCUCAGUUCGGAUUGUAGGCUGCAACG
rnacentral:rRNA from 1 species